GUAGUUGUGGCAUCUUUUAGCUCACAAUUUGCGUACACUUGAAUCCGUUAUGUGAUUUUUUUGAGUUAGUGGGAGUUAGUAUCAUACAUGCUCUGCCAAGAUAUGCCUCGCAACCAUAUUGUUGCUGCUGCCUCACAGGCCCCUUCGAACAUAGGAUAUCUGUUUUCUUAUUUUUGUUGAUUUUGUUAAUCUUUCUUGCAUCCGUUAUAACUGGGGAUUAUCGAAAGUUCUAAUUCCUAGAUUUCAAAAGCUUAACAUCAAUUUUGUGUCUUGAUGUGUUAUAAUACUACAAUUAUAACAUCUAGAAAAAUAUUAUAAUAAUGCUUAUGAUGUUCCGUUUUAAUUGGCUACUACUUAUUGACUUCAGCCAAGUUCCACUUGAAGGGAGAUUUGUGUGUGGUGUUGGCAUCACAUAUUGGAUAUGGCCUAGAAAGAUGAGUCGGAGGAACGCUGCCUGCAUAUUGCACUACAUAUGAUAAAGACCGAAUUAUAGGGAUGGCUGCAAACUGUGAAAGGUUAUUUAACUGCUACAGCCGCUGCCUCGCAGGUCCUGCUGCUGCUGCAGUAGUCGCUGCCUGUGGUGGAUAUUGGAGCCAAUUCUCCACCGGAGCUCCCAUCACUGCCACUCUCUUUCCCGGCGAUGGUAUUGACCCUGAAAUUGCCGAAUCCAUCAAACAGAGUUUACAAGCUCUGCACAAACCAGAGAAUCUAAGCCAGUGGCAUGGUGUGAGAUUCAGGUGGACGCUGCAUCUCUGUUCGCUGCUGUUCUGCUACUACGCUGCUGUUGUUCUGCUACUAUGCUGCUGCUGCUGCUCUGUUACUAUGCUGCUGCUGCUCUGCUAGUGAUUGUAUGUAGGAAGUUGUUGCUCUUGUUAUAGUGAAUAUAUCCAAUGUAUUUCUUUUUCUUUGUUUUUUGCAAGUGUAAAAUUACAGGUUAUCAAUGAAAUUAUCAGUUUCAAGUA